GACGAACGCUGGCGGCGUGCCUAAUACAUGCAAGUCGAACGCAGUGGGGACGGGUGAGUAACACGUGGGUAACCUCCCAUCAGAGGGGAUAACACUUGGAAACAGGUGCUAAACCGAUACUGAUGGAUGAACCCGCGGUGCAUUAGCUAGUUGGUGAGGUAACGGCUCACCAAGGCCACGAUGCAUAGCCGACCUGAGAGGUUGAGCGGACACACUGGGACGGGGACACGGCCCUGACUCCUACGGGAGGAAGAAGGAGGGAAGCUUCGGCAAUGGACGAAAGUCUAACCGAGCAACGCCGCGGGAGUGAAGAAGGUGUUCGGAUCGUAAAACUCUGUUGUUAGAGAAGCGGUAUCUAACCAGAAAGCCACGGCUAACGACGUGCCAGCAGCCGCGGUAAUAC
rnacentral:rRNA from 1 species